CAACGGCGCCCAGCCCGCCAGAAGAGCGCGAGGCGAGCAGACGGCAGGGAGCCGGUCGGGUAGGGCGAGCGCAGCCGGCGGGGGGGGGGCGGGGGGGGGAGUGGCGGUGGUGAGGAAGGAAAGGGAAGAGGCGGAGCGUGGGAGCGCACAGUGUCAGGAAUACAAUAGUGCUCCGCGCCUCCUCGGCCGCCGCCGCCCAGCAGCCUGCCUAGGGCUGAGGCCUGACGGGCCAGGCGGCCAGGGCGAGGGCGGGAGCCGAGCGCUAGGGGGCGGCCCCCGCGGCUCCUCGUGAGGCCCGGGCGGGAGGGCGGGGUGAGGAGGAGAUUAGGGGGCAGGUGCGAGGGAGGGAAGAGAAGAAAGCGGGCGGCUAGGGGGCGGUUACCACCCGAGCCGGACUCGCUCGGCACGUUGAGGGGCCCCUGUGUUGCAGGGAAGGAGCGGAGCCCGCAGCAGCGCCGGAGGUAGGCGCUCUCGAGGGCAGGGCAGCCGCAGCAGCGAGCCUGUGGGCGUAGUGCGGCUCUGGCGGCGGGAGUGGCGGCCUCGAGGAGUGGGACGAAGGCGGCGUGGAGCUAGGGGUCCCGGCCUCGCCGCGCUCAGUUCCACGAAGCGGUCGCCUCCGGUGUCCCCCGAGAGCCUCAGAGCAGAGAGCGUGUGUGGGCUGAGGCAGUUCAAAGUGAAGGGAUCGGGAACGACUUGGAAACAGCUUUCAGGGCACAUGUGAAUCACUUUCUAGCUUGUAGAGGUGAGUCCCAGGACCAUCAUCACAGCUGAUGAUUCCGGGGCAGUUAUCAAACCUGAGACGUGGGUUAGUGAAAGCUAAAGUACGAGGAUGUUGAAGACUUACAGGGUUAGUAUGGCCAUCUCCUUUAAUAAUGUUGUCUUUCCCCUCUCUUGUGUUCUACCAACCAUAACAAAUGUUUGUCCUCUAAGCUAUACAAAGCCCUCUCUUUUUUUUUUUACUUUGAGGUUUAGCUGAAACUAAUCACAUAUUUUGGGGGUGGUGAGGAAAUCAGGAGACAUCAGGUGUUUGUGAAGACGUGAUAUUAGAGAGCUCUUAGAAUCUUUGAUCAGGGAUGCAGAGAGGGAGGCUAAAAUGAGGUUGAAUAUUAUCGUGGGACAUAAUGUACCUCUUCAUGGAGUUUACAAAAAAUAGGAACUGAAGAAGAUAGAACUGACAUGCUGACUUAAGAUGAUCUGAUCAGGAUAAUUUACUGUGAUCUUUUUUUUUUUUUGGCUUUUUAAGACAGGGUUUCUCUGUGUAGCUUUGGAGCCUAUCUUGGCACUCGCUUUGUAGAGCAGGCUGGUCUUGAAUUCACAGAGAUCCGACUGCCUCUGCCUCCCGAGUGCUGGGAUCAAAGGCAUGCACCAUUAUCAACCAGCCCUGUGAUCUUUUCUUGCCUCACUUUUCUAGAUGAAUGGUGGGUGUUGGGCGAUACCCGUUGGCACUAUCCUAGCCAUAAUUUUGGGUGUUGAAAAUUGGACCCAGAGCUUUGCACAUACUAAACAAGCAUUCUACCACUGAGCUACCUAUCCCUUAUACUGAUACCUUUACAAAGUGGGAAAAGUUGGCUCAUUCAUAAGUUUGUAUUGUUCUAGUUACUGUAGUUACUGUGGUUGCAAAUGUUCUAGCUUCCUCAGCUUUAUAAAGGUUUCCAGGGUGAGGAGAAUCUAGGAUGAUUGGUUAGGAGCAAUGAAUAAAUAAGAGGGUGCUAGCA
rnacentral:lncRNA from 1 species